UACAGAGGGUGCGAGCGUUAAUCGGAGUGACUGGGCGUAAAGGGCGCGUAGGUGGAUAAUCAAGUAAGAUGUGAAAUCCCUGGGCUUAACCUAGGAAUGGCAUCUUAAACUGGUUGUCUUGAGUGCGGUAGAGGGUAGCGGAAUUUCCGGUGUAGCGGUGAAAUGCGUAGAGAUCGGAAGGAACACCCGUGGCGAAGGCGGCUACCUGGACUGAGACUGACACUGAGGCGCGAGAGCGUGGGGAGCGAACAGG
rnacentral:rRNA from 1 species